rnacentral:lncRNA from 1 species
AUAAUUUAAGGAGGUUAAAACAAAUAAGUUGAAGAAAAAAACAAUAAUGUAAAUAUGAAAAAAAUAUAUUUAAAUGUGAUGGUCACAAACUUACAAUUAUUGGUUAGACCAAAGAAAAUAUGGGGAAGGAAGAGAUGAGACGUCAGUGGUUUGAUUGGCAAAACCAAAAUACAAUGUCAUGUCCACACAAUUUGGAGCGCGUGAGAUUCUUACAUAACAGCGCGUGGAUAGGAUUUGAUCAUGAAUGCCAAGAUUCUUAUGUGUUCUUGUAAUACUAUUAUAUAUGGAUCUUUAAAGUCUUACAAGUUACCUAUAAAAAAAAAAAAAAAAAAAUUAUAGACAUGUCUCUAUUAUUAUGAUUCCUUCCAAAAAUAAAACACUCCAAAUAUUUUUCUUUUUUCUUUUCUCUUAUUGAUAAAGAAAAGACUCUAAUAAUUUAAAA